rnacentral:lncRNA from 13 species
AUGCAGUUCACAAUGGGCACGCAAUUCAUCCAAAGUGAAAAUACUGCCCCCUAUGCUCAGCACUGUCUAAUUAACUGGAGCCAGAAAAUCUCUUGUCAAUUUGACCAUAGACCAGUAAAUUUGACAAGAGAUUUGCUGGCUAUAGUCAAUUUGACAAGAACUUUGCUAGCUAUAGUCAAUUUGACAAGAGAUUUGCUGGCUAUAGUCAAUUUGACAAGAGAUUUGCUGGCUCCAGUCAAUUUGACAACGAGAUUUGCUGGCUAUAGUCAAUUUGACAACGAGAUUUGCUGGCUCCAGUCAAUUUGACAAGAUAUUUACUGGCCUCAGUCAAUUUGACAAUGAGAUUUGCUGGCCUCAGUCAAUUUGACAACAAGAGAUUUGCUGGCUCCAGUCAAUUUGACAACGAGAUUUGCUGGCUCCAGUCAAUUUGACAAUGAGANNNNNNNNNNNNNNNNNNNNNNNNNNNNNNNNNNNNNNNNNNNNNNNNNNNNNNNNNNNNNNNNNNNNNNNNNNNNNNNNNNNNNNNNNNNNNNNNNNNNGCCCCAGUCAAUUUGCCAAGAGACUGUUCGUUGUUGAGUUGUUACGGGUAGUUAAUUCACUGUGUUGCACAAGUUCAACCAUUGUUCUUUUUCAAUGGUUUUCAUAAUUGUUUUCAGUGGUUUUGCCUAUGUGUGAAUUCAAUCAAUGCUCUAAAUGUUUUCAAUUGUAUGAUUCCUAUGUUUCUGUUUUGAAAAGGAAAUAAAAGCACCUUUUGAACCUUAAUUAAAGAACAGAUGUUUGAAAUUAACUCUUUGAUGGUGAAGUUCUGUUCUCAUUAAAUAUUCACUUGUACUUACAUUUCACUUCCUGUUUCAAAAGACCAAUAAUGUUCCGUUAGAAACCCUUUGAUGAUGAGGGUUUGAAACAUUUCCAAUUUGAACGGCCUGGUAUUGACAAAAUGCAACUGUCAAACUAUCCCUCACAAUGCUAUUAAGCACUUUAUCCGUUUACUUUUUCAUAUUCAGAUGACUGUUUAGAAUGCAUGAAUUACUAGUUAAAUGUUAAUUUGCAUUUUUAUCGCUGUCAUCUAUCUCCUGUCAUCAUGUGGCAGAGUUUGGGAAGAAAGUGUCAUUGGAGGGUGUGUGUGGUCUCCUGGCAUCACUUCAUGUUUUUCCACUCUCUGUGUCACGUUAAGAUCCUCCAUAGUCUUUUGUCAGUGACAACAGAUCCCUCUUUUUAUGGUCAUAAUAAACCUUCCUGCUGAAUUUCGAUCUUGACAGGGCUGCGACACAGUCAUUUAAUUCACCCUCUGGCCAUUCAUGUACAAUACCUUCAGAAAGUAUUCACACCCCUUGACUUCUUCCACAUAUUGUUGUGUUACAACCUGAAUUUAAAAUGGAUUAAAUUGAGAUGUUUUGUCUCUGGUCUACACACAAUACCCCAUAAUGUAAAAAUUAAAUUAUGUCAAUUUUUAUAAAUGAAAGCUCAAAUGUCUUGAGUCAGUAUUCAACACCUUUGUUAUGGCAAGCCUAAAUAAGUUCAGGAGGAAAUAUUGCUUAACAAGUCACAUUAGUUGCAAAAAUUGUGUUUAGUAGUGUUAAAAUGUACCCCACGCGCAAUUGUCACGGAUUCAACCACAAAGACCAUGGAGCUUUUCCAAUGCCUCACAUUAAAAAUGCAGACAUUGAUUAUAUCUUUGAGUGUAGUGAAGUUAUUAAUUACACUUUGGAUGGUGUUUCAAUACACCCAGUCACUACAAACGAUACAGACGUCCUUCUUAACUCAAAAAAACACUCAGGGAUUUCACCAUGGUGACUUUAAAACAGUUUAAUGGCUGUGAUAGGAGAAAACUGAGGAUGGAUCAACAACAUUGUAGUUACUCUGCAAUACUAACCUAAUUGACAGAGUGAAAAGAAGGAAGCCUGUACAGAAUAAAAAUAUUCCAAAACAAUGCACUAAAGUAAUACUGCAAGAAUGUGGCAAAGCAAUUACGUUUUUGUUCUGAAUAUAUAGCUUUAUGUUUGGGGCAAAUCCAAUACAAAACGUUACUGAGUACCACUCUCCAUAUUUUCUAGCAUAGUGGUGGCUGCAUAAUGUGGGUAUGCUUGUAAAAUCCUAGAGGAAAAACCUGGUUCAGUUUACUUUCCACCAUACACUGGGAGAUGAAUUCCACUUUCAGCAGGAGAAUAACCUAAAACACAAGGUCAAAUCUACACUGGAGUUGCUUACCAAGAAGACGGUGAAUGUUUGUCUAGCAAUGGUUGUCUAGCAAUGAUCAACAUCCAAUUUGACAUUUUAAAAAGAACACAAUCCAGGUGUGGAGAUCUCUUAAAGACUUACCCAGAAAGACUCAACGCUGCCAAAGGUGAUUGUAGCAUGUAUUGACUCAGGGGGUUGAAUUCUUAUCUAAUGAAGAUACAUUUGUCUUUUAUUUUUCAUAUAUUACAUUUUUUACAAAUGUAAGAAUUUUUCUUCCACUUUGACAUUAUAGAAUAUUUUGUGUAGAUCGUUGAAAAAAAAUACAAUUAAAUCCAUUUGAAUCCCACUUUGUAACACAACAAAAUGUGGAAAAAGUCAAGGGGUGUGAAUACUUUCUGAAGGCACUGUGUGUGGGUGUGUGUUUGCGGGUAGAGCUGUAAUUGGAAAUUAAAACUUUGCUUGGCUUAAUUUAUUCACAGCUUAUGUCUUCAUGAUUUAUACCAUGUUUGGAUGGAGAGGGGAAGAGGGGAAGGAAGAGGGUAUGGGGUGUUACUGAAAUUGACUGCACUGCUUUAAUUGGAUCAAAUUAGGAUUUUUCUCUGACCUGGUUGGCCUCAUCAGUACUCCCCC